rnacentral:misc_RNA from 1 species
AAGUCGUAACAAGGUUUCCGUAGGUGAACCUGCGGAAGGAUCAUUACUGAGUGGUUUUCGUCGCGAGACGAGCUGCCCGACCUGAUGUCAUUUGGAGCGGGGCUUGCUGGAGGGGGAAUGGGUUUGCGGUGACCCGGACGAGGCGGAAGCCUGGGAAGGGAAGGUGCGGACCGGCCCGCUGGCGGCUUGGCAUGUAAAUUUCGGCGGAAGAGGCAGGCUGUGACCUGCCCGCCGCCGGCGGUAACCUUUACGUUCUUGAGAAGCUGAAGUCUGAAUGAAAGCAAGGAAAAACAAGCAAAACUUUCAACAACGGAUCUCUUGGCUCUG